rnacentral:lncRNA from 1 species
GGAAAAUGAAAGUGGCGGUGUCCAACAGCCGGCGUAUCAGCCGUCGGGGCGAGGGGCGCAGGGUGCGGGUCGGUGGGCCUGGGGCUAGCGAGCAGAGGCCACAGCCCGCGCCCGGCGAGAUGGCAGCAGGCCCUGGACUUCCCUGCACUGCAGGCCAUCGUGAGGCCACAGAGAAACAAGAAAAUGGACUCCCUCCUUCUGAGGACAAGAAUGCCAGCCACCAGCCAUGGCACUGAACAGUGCAGUGAAUGGACAGGACGGCAGAAUGAGCUCUACCCCACAUGAGACUUCUGGAACAGCAUUCAGGAGUUUCCACACUGUUUGCUGAACCACAACUUUUACUGCAGGUGAGGAGCCUUGGAAGGAAUGGAAGAUAAAAGCCAUUAUGCAAUUUAGAAUUGAAGGAUAUCCUUUGACAUAUCACUGCAGCGGGGGAUGAUGAACCAGUACUUGUGGAAACAGGGACCGGAUCACACCAUGGUCAAGACCUGGCUGGACUUGAGGGGAUCUGAAGGGGCAGAAGGACACAUGCAAGACCGUACCUGGGACCCAGCCUGCUUGGUCCCCAUAGAGAGUUAAUUCAGCUGGAGUUCCC